GGAAGCCAUCCAGAGGGACCUAGACAGGCUGGAGAGGUGAAUCCAUGUGAACCUAAUGAGGUUCAACAAGGCCAAGGUGUUGCACGUGGGCCGGGGCAGUCCCAGGUAUUAUACAGACUGGGCAAAGACCCCCUUGAGAGCAGCCCUGUUGGAGAAGUACUUGGGGGUCCUGGUGGACAAGAAGCCAGACGUGAGCCAGCAGUGUACGCUUGCAAAUUGGAAAGUCAGCUGUGUUCUGGGCUGCAUUAAAAGAGGGGUGGCCAGCAGGGAGAGGGAGGUGACUGUGCCCCUCUACUCAGCUCUUGUGAGGCCCCAUCUAGAGUACUGCAUCCAGGCCUGUGGCCCUCAGUACAGGCAAGACACAGAGCUCUUGGAGCGGGUCCAGAGGAAAGCCAUUAAGAUACUCAGAGGGCUGGAGCACCUCUCCUAUGAAGGAAGGUUGAGGUAGCUGGGCUUAUUUAGCUUGGAGAAGAGAAAGCUCUGGGGAGACCUCAUGGUGGCCUUCCAAUGCAUGAAGGGAGAGUAUAAACAGGAGGGGGGACUGCUGUUUACGAGGGUGGAUAGUGAUGGAAAAGGGGGAAUGGUUUUAAACUGAGACAGGGGAGGUUUAGGAUAGAUAUUAGGAGGAAGUUUUUCACGCAGAGGGUAGUGAUGAACUGGAACAGGUUGCCCAAGGAGGCUGUGGAUGCCUCAUCCCUGGAGGCAUUCAAAGCCAGGCUGGAUGUGGCUCUGGGCAGCCUGGUCUGGUGGUUGUCGACCCUGCCCGUGGCGUGGGGGUUGAAACCAGAUGAUCAUUGUGGUCCUUUUCAACCUAGGCUAUUCUAUGAUUCUAUGAUUCUAUGAUACUAUGAUCUUGACAAGGGGAUUGAGCUCACGCUCAAUGUGUUUGGAGAUGACAGCAAGUUGGGAGUGAGUGCUGAUCAGCCGGAGGGGAGAAAGGCACUACGGAGGGAUCUGGAUAGGCUGGAUUGAUGGGCCAAGGUAAACUGUAUGAGUUUCAACAGGGCCAAGUGUUGGGUCCUGCAUUUUCUUCACAAAAAGCCCAGGCAACCCUACAGGCUUGGGGAGGAGUGGCUGGAAAGCUGCCUGAUGGAAAGGGACCUUGGUGUGUACUUGGGCAGUCGGCUUAAUAUGAGCCAGCAGUGUGCCCAGGUGGCCAAGGCGGCCAAUGACAUCCUGGCUUGGAUCAGGAAUGGUGAUGAUGGCAAGCUGACCACCUUCUUUUUUUUCUAUUCAUGAAGUCCCACUCAAAGAAAUCAAAGCAGUGGGAGAUCCUGAAGAAAAGGGUGUUUGGGUGUGACCUGGGAGAGCAUCUUCUCCACUCCGGCCAAGAUGUUAAGGAACAGCCUAUUCUUGGGACCUUCAUCUGUUGGCAACCUAAAGGCAACCUAGAGAGAUCACAUCUAGCAAGGGGCAAGUUGAUACCAGUGGUUAAAUGUG
ensembl:lncRNA